GCGGAGGGAUCAUUACAGAGAAUGAGCCGCAGCUUAUAGUACAGCUCCCGCUCCAAUUCUGUCACCCCAUGUGAACUCUCCCGUUGCUUCGGGGGCGACCCCGCCGUGUCACACACGGCGGGAGCCCCCGCGCGUACCGAACCCUGCAUUUCUGCGUCGGAGUUUAAGUAAAAUUAAACAAAACUUUCAACAACGGAUCUCUUGGUUCUGGCAUCGAUGAAGAACGCAGCGAAAUGCGAUAAGUAAUGUGAAUUGCAGAAUUCAGUGAAUCAUCGAAUCUUUGAACGCACAUUGCGCCCUCUGGUAUUCCGGAGGGCAUGCCUGUUCGAGCGUCAAAUGCACACUCAAGCCUCGCUUGGUCUUGGGCGUCGCGGGGUCCCCGCGCGCCUCAAAGUCCCCGGCUGAGCUGUCCGUCUCCAAGCGUUGUGAUCUCAUAAAUCGCUUCGGGGCGCGGGCGGCCGCGGCCGUUAAAUCUGUUUACACCAGGCUGACCUCGGAUCAGGUAGGGAUACCCGCUG
rnacentral:rRNA from 1 species